rnacentral:rRNA from 1 species
CGAGGACGAACGCUGGCGGCGUGCCUAACACAUGCAAGUCGAGCGGAGCCAUCUAAAUGAUCCCUUCGGGGUGACUUUGGGGAAGCUUAGCGGCGGACGGGUGAGUAACGCGUGAGUAACCUGCCCAUAAGAGGGGGACAACAGUUGGAAACGACUGCUAAUACCGCAUGACACAUAGAGAUCGCAUGGUUUUUAUGUCAAAGAUUUAUCGCUCAAAGAUGGGCUCGCGUCCGAUUAGAUAGUUGGUGAGGUAACGGCUCACCAAGUCAACGAUCGGUAGCCGGACUGAGAGGUCGACCGGCCACAUUGGGACUGAGAUACGGCCCAGACUCCUACGGGAGGCAGCAGUGGGGAAUAUUGGGCAAUGGGCGCAAGCCUGACCCAGCAAUGCCGCGUGAAGGAAGAAGGCUUUCGGGUUGUAAACUUCUUUUGUCAGGGACGAGUAGAAGACGGUACCUGACGAAUAAGCCACGGCUAACUACGUG